UUUUUAUGGAGAGUUUGAUCCUGGCUCAGGACGAACGCUGGCGGCGUGCCUAAUACAUGCAAGUCGAGCGAAUGAUGAGAAGCUUGCUUCUCUGAUUU
rnacentral:rRNA from 1 species